CGGCCUUGAAAUACCACCCUUUAAUGUUUGAUGUUCUAACGUGGACCCGUGAUCCGGGUUGCGGACAGUGUCUGGUGGGUAGUUUGACUGGGGCGGUCUCCUCCUAAAGAGUAACGGAGGAGCACGAAGGUUGGCUAAUCCUGGUCGGACAUCAGGAGGUUAGUGCAAUGGCAUAAGCCAGCUUGACUGCGAGCGUGACGGCGCGAGCAGGUGCGAAAGCAGGUCAUAGUGAUCCGGUGGUUCUGAAUGGAAGGGCCAUCGCUCAACGGAUAAAAGGUACUCCGGGGAUAACAGGCUGAUACCGCCCAAGAGUUCAUAUCGACGGCGGUGUUUGGCACCUCGAUGUCGGCUCAUCACAUCCUGGGGCUGAAGUAGGUCCCAAGGGUAUGGCUGUUCGCCAUUUAAAGUGGUACGCGAGCUGGGUUUAGAACGUCGUGAGACAGUUC
rnacentral:rRNA from 3 species